rnacentral:lncRNA from 1 species
GCCAUUACAGUGAUCGAAAACAAGCAACCCGAAAAGCUCUGAUACUAAUUUGUUAAAAACUGAAUGUCGAUAAAGGUAAUGUAGAAAAAUCGCAAAGAAAAAAAAAGAAAAAUAGAAUACACAGAUUUUACGUGGAAACCCUUUCAGGAAAAAAACCACGGGCAGAUGAGAAGAAAAUUCACUAAUGUCGAAUUCAAAUGAUACAAGAGGAGUUUCGGCUACAUCUAUUUAUAGGUUGAAAAAACUUAAUUCUAGUUAAUGUCAAAUAUAUUAUGCUAAUAAAUGCUAAAUAUAUUAUACUAAUAAAUACUAAAUCUUCUAGAAAGAAAAUAUAUUUUGUUUAACUUGACUUGUAAGUAAUCUC